UGGACUAACCCCCUGUCCAUUUCUUGAUUGAAUCGACUUAUCUUAAUUCUCAUCUGCAAUUUCCGGUGAAAAUCAUCACAACCUCAGUCACAGAAACUCAUCAAUCGAAUACCUCAGAUCCACCUUCUGCAAACCCUAAAUCAAACGAAACCCAAUUUCAAUUUGUAAUCUGCUACUGAUUACUUCUUGAUAUUCAUAAAGAGAGACAGAGAGAUUAAGAAAUCAGGGUUUCAGUAGAUAGAUGAAAAAUUAGGGUUUUAAAAUCUCUGACAAAAAUCAGGUGAAGGUUAUGCUGCAUCAAAUCAGACUUAAAGGGUUAGUUUCCGUAGGAGGUGUAGUACAUGGGUUCAGAUUUGGGGAUCUGUUAAUUUCAAUCAAGAACAGAGAAAAUCAAGGGUUUGUUCUGUAAGAAGAGAGGGAGAAUUCGAUUGAUAUUUCUGAUAAGCAGAGAGUGAGAGGGAUUUGAUUCUAUUGAUGGGGAUUCAGCAAUUAUGAAGAUUAUUCUGCCAAUUUUAGUGUUAUGAAGAAAUUAGGGUUCAGUCGAGGAGAAUGAUGUCGUCUGAUCAUUGAAUCUACAGGAAAGAAGAAUUAGAAACUAGGGUUUGUCUUGAAUUGGUUGUUGACAGAGAUGAAUCCCGCACUUCUUAGCACACUCGAGGCAGAGUAUGCAAACAAUCCAUUUUCCCUUUGGGUUUGGUCGCUGUUGAAGAAAUCAGAGUUUGCUAUUGAUUUGAGAAACAUCACUUUCCCUUAUAGGAAAUCUCACUCUGCAAUUCGCUUGCUCAGGUGUUGUCAACACUAAUGUUGAUAAAGCAGAAAGAUUGGUUAAGGAUGAUCACAAAAAGGGAGCAAACAUUAUUCUUAUCCAGGAAUUAUUUGAAGGAUAUUAUUUUCUGUCGAGCGCAGAGGGAAGAUUUCUUUCUACGAGCAAAGCCUUAUAAAGAGCACCCUACAAUCAUAAGGCAACUCCAUCUACAAAACCCCUACAAUGAACUGGAAUACAUUGCUAACCAAUUCCACAAACGAAAUUACUGCUAUCCCAACUCCAACAAUCAGCAGCAUUACGUCUGGAAACAAAAGAAGAUGCUCUAGAAAGGCGCCUGAUGACCCUCCAUUUGCUAAGAGACCUUGCAAUUCAGCUCCCAAAAAGCUUACACCAGCGAGAGGUCCUAGGAAACAAAUGCAAGCACGCAAGUCGUCUAGUCCACCAGAAAAAGAUCAGGCAUGUAGUCCUCAAGAACAAACUCAGCAGCAACAAGUUUCUGUUGUUCAAUCUACGACGAUUGUUUACCGUUUCCCUAAUGGACCAACAACUUGCUGGCGCAAUAGAACGGAAGAAUUGGUGCUGAGAUGCAGGGAAUGGUACAUGCUGCUAGAGCUACAGUUGGAAAUGGAAGUGCUAAAUGGCGUCCUAAAUUGUACGCCAAGAUGCUUUGCUGUGUGUCCUGUGCAAUUCAUUCACAUGUGGUGAGAGUUUGUUCUAGAGAGAAGGGGAGGAACCGUGACCCACCUACACGCUUCAAGCGUAAGGGAGGAGCACUCGAAGAUUGAUGUUCCAGCUGGUUUCUACGUAUUGUUUGGAUCAGAAGCUGAUGCAGAUAAAAUUCUUUAAAGUCAUGAAUUUCCCACUUGGACUCACCCAGAAACAUGCUGACAUUCACCUGAAGGCUGAAGGUCUUGUUUCUUGCACAAAAGCUGUACUCUUGCUUUUAAUGCUUAUAGUGCCGACGAGCAGGAUCUAUGUGAAUAGCUGCUGAAAUCAAUCGUAUUACUUUACAAAGAUCUGGAUGCUUUUGAAGUUCUUACUCAUGUUAGUAAGCAUUUGCAUUUCUUUUCUUAGCUAGGUAAUUUGAAGUUAGCUAGGUAAUGCAAUUGGAGUGGCAGAUCAACUUGAAUGAAUGUAAAUGUGUUACAAUGGCAGGUCAAUGUGGAUGUAAAUUAUUUUCGGCGAUAAUAAUAAUAACUGUUGUUUUAUA